CAGCCGCCACGGGAAAACGGAGGGUGCAAGCGUUAUCCGGAUUUAUUGGGUUUAAAGGGUCCGUAGGCGGAUCUGUAAGUCAGUGGUGAAAUCUCACAGCUUAACUGUGAAACUGCCAUUGAUACUGCAGGUCUUGAGUAAAUUUGAAGUGGCUGGAAUAAGUAGUGUAGCGGUGAAAUGCAUAGAUAUUACUUAGAACACCAAUUGCGAAGGCAGGUCACUAAGAUUUAACUGACGCUGAUGGACGAAAGCGUGGGGAGCGAACAGGAUUAGAUACCCCCGUAGUCCCUGUCUCUUAUAC
rnacentral:rRNA from 1 species